UGGGCUCAAAGCUGGGUCAUGAGUGUAUUUUACUGUAGCUGCGUUGUCUGACUGUAUGCAGACUUCCAACACUAGAUUGUUCUUCGUCGCUGCCUCUUCUCCCAGACAGCACAUAGCUUCCUUCACUGCUGCAGCUUCAAUUUCCAGCAGGGAGGAAGCAGACGCAGCUCUAGCAAACUCCACAGUACACAAACCUCUGUGAUCCCUGCAUACCCUAGCCACCGAUCCCUCUAUUUCCCCUUCGAUCCACGACCCAUCUACGUUAAAUUUCCAGCUUCCAUGUUCUGGGCACAUCCAUCGCGCUGUCUUGGAUUUCACCCGCCAUCUCCACGACACAGGCGUUCCUUGCCUUCUAGAUUUGCCAGAGAAUUCCUGCAAGCACCUCUCGGCCGGACUGUUCUGUGAUGUUGCAAAAUUGGACUAUGGUCAGACCCUAUUGCAGGCAGUGCAAAGGCUUCCGCAUUUGGGAAACUCACUCUCCAGUUUAUAUUACAAAGGGCCCUAUCUAGCCUUUCCCGCACCAGUGCUCUUCCUUCCCUGUUGUUGGCCUAACCUGUAGUGCUCCACUCCAUUACCCCCAGAUUUUUCCCAAUGGUACAAGAUCUCAUUAAAGUCCCCAACACACCUUUAA